GUCGAACAAGAAAAACUUGAAAUCUUAUGUGGCGUAAAUCACAUAUAUAGCAGUGGGAAGAAAAAAGUAGAUUAUUUUUUUCCCCCAAAAUAGACUAAAGUAACAGACCUAAUUUUUUUUUUUCCUGGAAAGAAUUGGAGUAUAUAUAUAUAUUUUUUUUAAACCUCGAAGCCGACAAAAAACUAAGAAAAUAAUUAUAUAUACUGAAGAAAAGAAUAUUAUAAAAAAAAUACAUGAACAAGGAGAGAGAGAAAAAUGCGUUAUAAUAAAGAAGGAUAAAGCCCACUAAAGGUCAUCACUCAUCUAACUGUAUACUAUUUUUUUUUUUCGAGGCAAUACAUCAGUUUACCUGAUCUAGUAUUUUAAACUGAUCUAGUAUUUUAUUUUAUUCUCUCCAAGGUUUUGUAUAAUAUAGUUUUGUAUGAUACGUAGAAAUACGUAUAUAUAUAUAUAUAUAUGUCUGUCAAUACGUAGAAAUCUAAAGGGAACAAAUAAAACACAGCAGCUGUCUAACAGUAAAA
rnacentral:lncRNA from 1 species